UUGCUUCAGCAGCACACAUACCAAGGUGAAUGAUACAGAGCAGAGUAGCCUGGUCCCUGUGCCAGGAUGACACUAAUUUGUGAAGGACUCCAUAUUAAU
rnacentral:snRNA from 1 species